CUUAUACUCCCUCCAUCCGAAAAUACUUGUCAUUCAAAUGGAUGUAUCUAGAAGUAUUUUAGUUCUAGACACAUCCAUUUUGAUGACAAGUAAUUCCGGGCGGAGGGAGUACUUG
rnacentral:pre_miRNA from 1 species